CAAUAGCGUAUAUUAAAGUUGUUGCAGUUAAAAAGCUCGUAGUUGGAUUUCUGGUGGGAGCGAUCGGUCUGGCGCUUAGCGCGAGUACUUGCAUCGUCUCCGGCCAUCCUUGGGGAGAGUCUGUCUGGCAUUAGGUUGUCGGGCAGAGGAUCCUCAUCGUUUACUGUGAAAAAAUUAGAGUGUUCAAGGCAGGCUUAUGCCGUUGAAUAUAUUAGCAUGGAAUAAUAAGAUAGGACUUUGGUACUAUUUUGUUGGUUUGCGCACCAAAGUAAUGAUUAAUAGGGACAGUUGGGGGUAUUCGUAUUCCGUCGUCAGAGGUGAAAUUCUUGGAUUUACGGAAGACGAACUACUGCGAAAGCAUUUACCAAGGAUGUUUUCAUUAA
rnacentral:rRNA from 1 species